rnacentral:lncRNA from 1 species
AACUGGGUAAGCAGGACCUAGGCCCAGGUCCAUUAUCUUUUUCCCCAAGUAAAGAACCCUAAUUUGGUGUAGAGACAAAAUUAGCAAUGAAUCAAACUCACAAAUUUCAAUUUCAAUCAAAUUUCUCUGUUUAGGGAUUCAAAUACAUUAUAAUUACAAAUUACAAUUAAAAAUGGACCAAAUACAUCAUAAAAUUUGAAAACCCUAGAAUCUACUUUUGGACAAAAUAAAAAAUUGAUCAAUUUACAACCAAUCUAAUUACAAUUAAAUCCUAAAAUUCUUUAAACUAAUCAAUCAAAUUAAAUGUUAAGCAUAAGCCUUAAUUUAUAAAAACCUAAAUGCUAAAACAUAAAAGAGGACCCUAGGAAGAAUUCUGGAAUCCAUAGAAGCAAUAAUCUGUAAUCCUCACAAGAGCUCCAAAAUCUGGUUGAUUAGGGUUAGCGUCAAACCAUAUUCGUACUUGAACUUGACCUCCAUUCCAUUGGGACCUCGCAUCAAAAAAAGAAAAAAGAAAAAAUUAUAGAAGGAGAGAAUCGGAUCAGUGCAGACAAAAGGGAAUGGAUUUGAAUCGAAUUACCUUACUAGAGAAAGCCACGUCUCUGAGGGUUGGUUUUUUCUCUCUUUAAACUUUAUUUUGACAUUAUUAGAUGUUUGCGUUUUUUGUCUAUGCUUGAUAUGUUGAAUGCGGUUCAGGAUAAAAAGGGAUUAGGGUUUUGUGAUGCAUAUUAGGAUCUAUUGAUGUAGAUGUUCAAUCCAUAUUUUUGAUGUGUGUUUUGGGGUUUUUGGGUAAUGUUUAGGGUUAGGUUUCUUCCCUUUUAGGGUUAGGAUUCAGUGAUGAACCUUGGGGUUCAUAAAAAGGAGGGUUAGGAUUCUUGAUUAUUUCCAGGGUUCAUGGAUUUUGAGUGUUUCUGGGUUCAUGAUUGAACAAAUUGGGUUAGGGUUCUUGGGGUGAUGAAUGUCGUGAUGAACAUUCAUCGGAAUAUGGGUUUGGGGGGUGUUGGUAUGAUGUCCAAAGUAGUUUGAGGGAGGCCGAAGGCCAGGCCAUGGUGGUUAGGGUCGGGAGACGGUGAAAGAGUAAGAGAGAGAUUAAAGAGAAGGAAUGUUAGAGAGAGAGAGAGAG